GAGGCUGAAUACAGCGCUGUUCGAUUUGACAGUGCAACAGGAACAAGACGUGAAGAAGAGGGGGACGAUUCAUCUGCAGUGUACAGCACAGUCACCAAACACUGAAGAAACACAACAUGAAUCUGUUGUUUAUGGAUUUUACAGCCUCACGGAGCCAGAAGAAAUAAAACAUAUAGACAUGUGCAGUGUUUGUAAAGGUUUGUCUUCUUUCUUGAUGGGUUGGUUAACCCAGAUUACAAAUUCUCUCACUUCUCUCUUUGGAAGUCACGAAAGGUAAAGGUAAGAAAGUUGUUCUUCUUCUCCCACAAUUGAAAAUAUUUCCCAGGCUCAACCAGGUGUAGAGUUAGCCUCAGGUUAGGCUAACGCUAACCGUAAUGUAUGUUACUGUCAAAAUGUUACAAAUAACAAUAAGAUUAUUAUAAAUUGUAAUUAGUUGUAACUCUUUCUCAAUCGUGCCGUGUCGGACGGUUGAGAAAAGUAAACCGCUGCGUCCACUGGCUGAUCGAGGGGGGGCAGGCCUGUUCAACGCUGCUUACAGCUUCAGUUGAGGAUGAUUCAGGUUUGGUGUGAACAGCCACUAAAGUCGUUUCUAACACUCUGUUACAUGAAGAAAUUCACAGUUUGUACAAACCACAGUUUAAUCUUCCACCAUCGGGCUCAGGAUGCAUUCACAGACGAGAGCAGCAGCUACUAUGAGUGUAACUGCAGCAGCCAGUG